GCGAUCAUACCAGCACUAAUGCACCGGAUCCCAUCAGAACUCCGAAGUAAGCGUGCUGGGCGAGUGUAGUACUAGGAUGGGUGACCCCCUGGGAAGUCCUCGUGUUGCACCCC
rnacentral:rRNA from 11 species